AUUGAACGCUGGCGGAAUGCUUUACACAUGCAAGUCGAACGGCAGCACGGACUUCGGUCUGGUGGCGAGUGGCGAACGGGUGAGUAAUGUAUCGGAACGUGCCCAGUCGUGGGGGAUAACGUAGUGAAAAUUACGCUAAUACCGCAUACGAUCUAUGGAUGAAAGCGGGGGAUCGCAAGACCUCGCGCGAUUGCAGCGGCCGAUAUCAGAUUAGGUAGUUGGUGGGGUAAAGGCCCACCAAGCCAACGAUCUGUAGCUGGUCUGAGGGACGACCAGCCACACUGGAACUGAGACACGGUCCAGACUCCUACGGGAGGCAGCAGUGGGGAAUUUUGGACAAUGGGAGAAAGCCUGAUCCAGCCAUUCCGCGUGCAGGAUGAAGGCCCUCGGGUUGUAAACUGCUUUUGUACAGAACGAAAAGGUUUCUACUAAUACUAGGAGCUCAUGACGGUACUGUAAGAAUAAGCACCGGCUAACUACGUGCCAGCCGCCGCCGUAA
rnacentral:rRNA from 1 species